CAGAAUUCCUGCACUCCUGCUUCACCUCAUUGCAAAAUGGAUGGACACAGUUACAGCAAUGAUGACUUCACUUUUGGAAACCUGAGACAAGUUGGGGACAGAUGGUCCAAGAGAAAAAUCUAUCUACAUGAUCACUAAGAGCCAACAUCAACUUGAAGGCUUAUAAUCAAAAAUACUAAUCAGAAAUGAUGCUAUGCCAGUAUAAAAGAGGUCUUGGGCAGAAUGUAAAUGGAGGCCCAGGAAGGACAUGAAUGGAGGCCUUGGCCAUGUUGUGAGAGAAGCCAUGGCUGCAUCCGUGUGAAAAAAGGCAAUGUAAAAGGUUUUGGCCAUUACAGUAGUUGUGUAUAGUGUGGGAGCACCUGACUGUAAUAAUAAACAUUGAGCUAGACUUUAAAGAUUAUUUACUGUAGCCUAUAUAUCAAUAAAGAUCCAGUCAAUUUGGUGGAGUUAGUUUCCUGCCCUAGACUACCUCAAAGACAAUUGAAGAAUACCAAGAGUAGAUAGAGAAAAAUGGGGAUCCAGAAAUGCAGCUAUUUCUCAAUCAGAUUCUAUACUGCAAAAGGCAACUGAUUGAUUUGAAAAAGAUCAAAUGGCUCCUAUACAGGAGAAACUCUAAACGCAUCCCUCUUUUCUUUUCUUUUUUUCAAAUAUCCUACUGUUGCCAACAUACUGUUCAAAAUGAAGCCUUUUUU